rnacentral:rRNA from 1 species
ACGGAAGGCAGCAGUGGGGAAUCUUGGACAAUGGGGGAAACCCUGAUCCAGCGACGCCGCGUGAGUGAAGAAGUAUUUCGGUAUGUAAAGCUCUAUCAGCAAGGAAGAACAUGACGGUACUUGCCUAAGAAGCUCCGGCUAAAUACGUGCCAGCAGCCGCGGUAAUACGUAUGGAGCAAGCGUUAUCCGGAUUUACUGGGUGUAAAGGGAGCGUAGACGGCAAAGCAAGUCUGAAGUGAAAUCCCGGGGCUCAACCCCGGAACUGCUUUGGAAACUGUUUAGCUAGAGUGCAGGAGAGGUAAGCGGAAUUCCUAGUGUAGCGGUGAAAUGCGUAGAUAUUAGGAGGAACACCAGUGGCGAAGGCGGCUUACUGGACUGUAACUGACGUUGAGGCUCGAAAGCGUGGGGAGCAAACAGGAUUAGAUACCCUGGUA